rnacentral:rRNA from 1 species
GACGGAGGAUGCAAGUGUUAUCCGGAAUCACUGGGCGUAAAGCGUCUGUAAGUCGUUCAAUAAGUCAACUGUUAAAUCUUGAGGCUCAACUUCAAAAUCGCAGUCGAAACUAUUAAACUAGAGUAUAGUAGGGGUAAAGGGAAUUUCCAGUGGAGCGGUGAAAUGCGUAGAGAUUGGAAAGAACACCAAUGGCGAAAGCACUUUACUGGGCUAUUACUGACACUGAGAGACGAAAGCUAGGGUAGCAAAUGGG